GUUUUAAGAGAGCUUUGUGUAAAGCCUAGAGAGGAGGACUCUCAACCCUAAGAGCUUGUGUUCAAGCCCUGCAAGGAGGACUUGCAAAACCCCGUCGAUAUCGUUCCCUGGAGCCGAUCUCGACCCUAUCUCUAUUGCUUCUUCGUCAGGUUUUGACGUUCUAAGCAAGAUCCGUUCUUGAAUCCGAGUUCUCGUGGAGAUCUUGUGUUCUCGUCCGUUAUUUAGCUUCCGCUCUGAUACCUGAUGCAGCGCAUCUUCAAGAUCGAACGUCGCAAGAUUCGAGGACGAAUCUUCUCUAACCUGAGGAGACUGAUGCAGCGUCAUCUAUGAUACAUGGGCUUUUAUUAUGGGCUUUAUUUACAUAUGAGCCUUUAUUUAUUAGCUUCUUAAUUAUGUUAUGGUUUUUGUUUUAUGUCUUCUAUUUAAGUAAACCUCUAGACUCGAUUGUAGGCAGCUUUUGAUUAUUGAAUAAACGAGUUUUAAGAGAGCUUUGUGUAAAGCCUAGAGAGGAGGACUCUCAACCCUAAGAGCUUGUGUUCAAGCCCUGCAAGGAGGACUUGCAAAACCCCGUCGAUAUCGUUCCCUGGAGCCGAUCUCGACCCUAUCUCUAUUGCUUCUUCGUUAGGUUUUGACGUUCUAAGCAAGAUCCGUUCUUGAAUCCGAGUUCUCGUGGAGAUCUUGUGUUCUCGUCCGUUAUUUAGCUUCCGCUCUCUAUCAC
rnacentral:lncRNA from 1 species